UCUCCCUCAAUUCCUCAAUUCUUGGCUUUUGCAAUAAAGCUAUUGGCUGAAGAGUGGCAGAGCUGGUCAAUUCACAUCAAUCACCUCAAUCCGUCAACCCGUUGUACCAGAAGUUUCUUUCUCAUGGUUUCCUCCUGUUCUUCUCUCUUGAGUUUUCAUCUUCCUCUCAAAUCCACCGUUUCUCCACUUUUGUUCUGUAUACAUUUUCCCCCUUGAUUAAAUUUUCUCUCAUUCUCUGAUAAGUUUCAUAUUUUUUUGUCACAGGUUGAGAGGUCAGACUAUCAACUAAACCAUGAAAGAAAUGUGGAGAUUGUUCUCUAAAGGUGAACACUUUCUCUGUGAUUUUUUUUUUUCCUUUUUUUGUACAUUUUCUCCGGAUUUUUUCCCUUAUAUAUCUUUUCUGGCCAAGGUAUCUGUUGGAUAAAUAAGAAAGGAAAAAAGGAUGCAAUCUUUCUGUGUUUGAUGGCCGUUUUCUUUCCCGAGAUUUGUUAUCAACAGAUGUGAUUUUCUUAGAUCUUCAAAAAACCACGUCUAAUUUUUUUUCUUUUGUGAUGUUGCGAUGUUGCAGGUAUGAAAUUUGGAGAUUUUCUCCAUCGCCGUCAUGCUAUUUUGUAAGUUUUUUCCCCCUUUUGGAGACCCUUUUCCUCUCUUAUCCUUUGUUUUCUCUGAUCGACAACAACAAAACCAAAGAUCUGGUUGGGAUUUUUUGCUUCAGUUCAAUAUCUCUUUUUCCAAAGCUUCUCUACCCUUUUGUGGUUUCUUUCCUUUCAUUUUUUAACUUCCUUUUUUCCCCUUUUGUGAUGUUUUGAUGUCGCAAUUACGAAAUUUGCAGAUUACCUCCACCAUUCUCAUGCUUUUUUCUAAGUUUUUCCCCCUUUUUUAAAGGUAAGUUCUAUAUGAUUAUUUUCUAAAAAAGACUUAUUUUUGUUGUAUCCUCCCCUUAAUUUUUCCUUAUUUCCAUCUUUUUUCCCCCGUGACUAAAGACACGUCAAAAUGCAUUUAACAAAUUUGAUUAAGUUCUUUUUGAUGGAUUUAAAAAUUUUUUUGCCCAUGUUUGAUCAUAUAAUUUGUAUAUUUUUGUGAUGUUGCAGGUCCAAAAAUUGGAAUUUUAUUUGAUUCUCUCAAAAAACUACUAAUGCGGUAGUAUGGAUCAAUAUUAUUCCUAGCCUGUUUUGCAUAAUAUUGGUGGAGCGAGUCUUCUUCUAUUCGCUUAUAUGUGAUUACAAUUUAUAUUCUGCUUUUCUUUAUUUUUUUUCUCUGCAAAAGAGAUUGCUUUGGAUUUUUUUCAUUUAUUUAUUUGUUUUUAUAACCUAUUAGAUGUAAGUUUCAAUUUUGGUUAUCAUGAAGUGUUUAUCCUCUUAGUUGUGUCUUGGAAAGUUAGUUUUCUGACAUGUUUCCUUGAGCCUUUAUAUUGACAAUUUAUAAAUCCUCACUAGAUGUUAGGACUCAUUUGUGUAUUUCAUGGGUCUAUUCCUUUUGUGUUUUUUUGUACGUGGGGUUGCUUUUUUAUUUCUUCUUGUUUUUCCCCCUUUUUUGUUCUAAAGCACUGUAAUGAUACAAUCAUAUUUUAUUUAUCAAAUGUUUGAUAGAAUGCUAAAACCAUUAAUUUGUUAUACAGUAGCUAAAAUUGGAAAAAAAAUUGUCCACUCUAACCCACUUUCUUGACUUUCAACCGAAAGGCUUUGUUCCUCUAUCCAUGAAUUUCCUCUUCCUCUUCUCAUGGUCUUCACUUGCUAAUAAAAAAGGAGAGCUAUAUAUGCUUAUGUUAUCUCUUCUUCUAUUGUAGUUUUAAAAAAAGAAAAGUGGAGAUUGUUCUAUGAUAAAGUCUCUAAAAUUUCUCAAGGUAGUUUCCUCUAUUUUAUAGUAUUCUCUAUAUCAUCAUUUGGCCAGUAACGCUUACUAAUUCUUCUACACAGAGGUUAUGCCGGGCUUCCUUUUUUCCACCACCAACAUCGGUGCACAUGAGGUGAUAAAGUGGGUGUAUUUCUCCUGUUCUUUUGUUUAGGCCUUUAUUUUCCAUAGUUUGGUUGCCCGGUCUAUGUGAUUAUCCUCCGGAGAAAUGUUUUUGCUAAAGUUCUCUCUUGAAUAUCUCGCUUUUGGCCAUGGGCUCGAGGAGUCUGGAAACGUUCAUCAGAGUCGCUUUUCUUUUGGGCAUGGGCUCAAGGAGUCUGGACAACCAAGUUUAAUCCUUUUUUCAACUGAUCUUUAUUUUGUUGAAUGUCUCUAGCAAAUAUUUGUGUUAUACACUAAAAUGUAUUAUUGCCUUUUAAGGUGGCUUUUUCUUUCCACCUCAUUUAUCACAUACAUUCAAUAGAUGAUUUUACCUUUUUUUUUCUCUUUUUUUUUUCAAUUUACCUAAUUCAAUAUGUAUUAUUAGGUUCUCUAUACUGAGCUGAGGAACAUUAUGGUUUGUUAUCUAACAUUCGGCAGUUAGUUAAGAUACUUUCUGUCAUACUCUUUGUUCUUUAAUAGUUAUCAAGAAAUUGGGGGCCUUUUACAACAGGUAUGUGUUUUGUUUGUCCACUGCAACUAUGUAUUAUCAGGAAUUUGUAUUUAAUUAUAUGCUUUUGGUAUUAUGUUAAAUAUGUUCUAAGUGAUAUGAAAUAGGACUCUACUUCUUCUAAAUUUUCAAGUCUCAACUUGUGCUCUGAUUAUUAAAACCAUUGACAUUCAUGUAUUUGCUAAUAAUUGGGUGUUCGAUUUUAGUUUGCGAAGUUGCGUAUCUGUUAGUUUCAAUGAAUUCAUUUGAAUGAAGACAAUAAUUAAUGAUUUGCAUUUGAUGCUUGCUAAUAAUCAGUGGUUUAUUCCACUGGGGCAAAUCUUGCUUUAUUUUUUUUAAUCUUUAACCCCUUUUUAAAAACUAGAAGUGAGAUUUUUUGUCCUUGAUAGGUUUACCUUCCAAUAUGUAAGUUGUUGACUGGAAUUGUUUACAACCUAGAGGGGCUUGACUUUGAUGAUAAUUUCAUGGGAUGCUUGACUUCAAAAAAUUAAUGAUAAAUCUCAUUUGAUGCUUGUGAAAUGAAUGGUGGAAUUUUCCCUUUCUAUAAGGCAGAAGUGUUGUUUGGAUUUAAGCAUUUUGUCUUCUAUUAUUUUCUUAAAUAUGCUUUUAGUACUUCUGGUAAUAAAAGCGUUUCACUCAUUUGCACUUUAGAUGGUUAGGUACUGUUAUUUUUCUGGUGGUGACUUUCUUUUAACUGGCAAAAUGAUACGAAUCUUAGGAGCUGCCCAAAAGCUAUUACGUGGCCCAUUGACGAGUCGUUGGGGUCCAAUGAAGAGAGCCAAAGCCAAGCAUUCAAAGUUCAAGAAUUUCAUCUGCAACGCGUCGGACUGAUUCAGUUGUUUUAGCAGUUUCCGUUAUUUCCAAUUAUUUCCUAGUUUUAUUGCUUCCAAUUGGGUCUUGUAAGCCUACUAAGGCAUAUCUAGUAUGUUAGGGCAAUUAGUUAUGUUUUGGUGAAGUCUUCCAAUUCAAUUAGGAAACUUACCUCUUUCGCGUAGGCUUAGGUUCAGUUGUUUUGUAAGCCUAUAAAAGGCUGCUCAAUUCCAUAGAGAAGGGACUUUUUGGAUUUUCAGAAAUUAAGAGAGUUUCUCUAACUUCUUGUGAGCAGCCUUGAGCACCUUUAGAGGAUCUAAAGUUUUCGUUGACUUUAUCAAUCAGGAAACACGCCUGAUUGUGGUGUCUUCUACCGUUCGAAACUAUCUCGCGCUGCCCUUGAUAGUCUAGGACUCCGCUUACCCCAAACUCAUUACCUUGGUCUUGGGCUUGUGGUUCGAAUUCUGGCGUCCUCGGAUCCGAGUUUGUAUCAGUUGGUAUCAGAGCAUAGGUUAAGGUAUCAAGUUAUAUCCCUUUUAUUUUGUUCUUGUCGUAUUUGUUUAGAGUUUAUUAUUAGGGUUUUCUUCUUAAAUUCUUUUGUGUUGUCGGUCUGCCGCAGUUUGUGCUGCUAGUUGUCAGUUAAUCGUGUCUUUGUGUUUGGGUUUGGAAAAAAAAAACUCGAAAUCACUAUUCACGGCACUGUAGCGCCGUCACUGUUCACGGGUACUGUAGCACGGUUUUUGUAGCCGUACUGUUCACACGAUACUGUAGCAGCUACUGUUCAUCCGUUUCUUUUAAUUACAAGAAAAAAAAAUUUUGUGAAUUUUUGAGUCCUUGAAAUCACCAAAAAAAACAAAAAAGGGAGCCUAGCUGCACUUGCGUGAAUUAUUGGUAGUUGAUUGCUCAUCUAAGGUCAUUCUAAAUUUCCUCAAGGUGGGUGAUCAAGAGCUUUGAGAAAUUGGUGAGAAUUACUGGCACGUCCCAAUUUGAGUGACAUACACGAGUGUGAGAGAAAAUUGUGAAGGAGUGAAGUGAGGUUCUUUGUUUGUCAUUGAUCUCCCGCAGGUUUAAAACAUGUCAAACGAAGGUGAAUCCCAACCUUUUGAUUUAAGACUUCAAAUGGAGGAUAUGAUGGAAGAAUUCAGACGCAUGCUUAGAAACUCCAUUGAACCAUUGCACGAACGGAUGGAACAAUUGGAGUCAUCCAAAAAUCGAGCUAGUUCGAGCAGAGGAAGGUCGAGGCAAGUUGAGUCGGAUGCGUCUAAUAGUGAGGAUGGUGAGUUUGAUCUACAACCAAGGGUUGCCCGAGGAAGGAGAAACGGCGGGAAUGAAUCCAUCAAGGGAGUUAAGCUCAACAUCCCAUCAUUCCAGGGUAAGUCCGAUCCUGAGACAUACCUUGAAUGGGAACACAAAAUUGAGCUUGUUUCCGAGUGCAAUAACUAUUCAGAGCAGCAAAAGGUGAAACUUGCCGCCGUUGAAUUCACAAAUUAUGCAUCCGUAUGGUGGGAUCAACUUCGAACUAGUCGGAGGAAAAAUGGUGAGCGAGCAGUAGAAACUUGGGGAGAACUUAAAGGAAUCAUGAGGAGACGAUUUGUCCCAAGCUACUAUCAUAGGGAGUUACACCAACGGCUACAAACUCUCACUCAGGGCGACAAGAGUGUGGAGGACUAUUUCAAAGACAUGGAGAUGCUCAUGAUGAGAGCUGAUGUGAAUGAGGAUGCUGAAACCACUAUGGCACAAUUCCUCAAUGGCCUAAAAUCCAAUAUUGCUGAGAUAGUUGAACUCCAACAUUACAUGGAUAUGAGUGAAAUGUUGGAUAAGGCUGUGAAAGUUGAAAGGUGAAUCAAGAGGAGGGGUACCACUAGAUCUUCGUCCCAUGUAACUCCUUCAAGUUGGAGCACCAAUCCCGGACCUAAAGAGGAAAAACCUGCAAACUCAACUUCUCCACUCAAGCCUAAAGGGGACAUAGUUGGAUUGGGUACAAGUAAAGGAGCGCCAACCCCAUUCAAUGGUGCUUCUAACUCGCGCAAUCGGGAUUGAAAAUGCUUCAAGUGCCAGGGGUAUGGUCAUAUACAAUCCCAAUGCUCUAAUCAACGCAUUAUGGUUAUAAGGGACAAUGGUGAAGUAGCCACAAAUGAUGAGUCUGAUUAUGCAGGGAUGCCGCUUUUGACGGGUGAUGGGGACUCGGAGGAAGAGAUUGCACCGCUACCUGGGAAUGUAGGGUGUUUGGUUGCUCGUAGGACGUUAACCAUGCUUGCUAAGGAGGACGAGGGGUCUCAAUGGGAGAACAUCUUUUACACCCAUUGCAAAGUUAAGGAUAGGAUUUGCAACUUAAUUAUAGAUGGGGGAAGUUGCACCAAUGUUGCGAGUUUACUCAUGGUAGAAAAUUUGGCUCUCCCAACCAAGAAACAUCCUCGACCUUAUCGACUGUAAUGGUUGACAGCUGAUGGGGAUGUGCGAGUGUAUAGACAAGUAUCGAUGCCUAUUUGCAUAGGGAAGUAUGAGGAUGAGGUGAUCUGUGACGUUGUUCCCAUGCAAGCCACUCACAUUAUUUUGGGACGACCAUGGCAAUACGAUAAGGAUGUAUCCUUUGAAGGUCGAACUAAUAAGUAUUCUUUUAUCCAUGAUGGUAGGAAGAUUACUUUAGUCCCUUUAUCCCCCAACCAAGUUUGUGAAGAUCUAGAGAAGUUGAGGACGGAGAGUGCGCAUGAAGAUGCAAGGAAAAAGGAAAAUCGAGUUGCUAGCCAUGAGAGAAAGCAAAAUCUCUUGAUGCGCUUUACACCUGAGGGCAAUGCUUCGCGCCCCUCACCUCUAACAUUUGUUUUGUUUAGCGUCCACUCUUUUGUACAGGUUGAGCAAGGGGCAAAAGUUUUGGUCCUGCAAUGUUCUAUGCCUCCUUCCAUUGGAGCUUAUAACCGAAGUGCUGUUAGCCCGCGCUACCAAUUCUUGCGUUUCCACGAUUUGAGGACAAAUCUUUUUAAGAGGAGGGGAAUGAUACGAAUCUUAGGAGCUGCCCAAAAGCUAUUACGUGGCCCAUUGAGGGGUCGUUGGGGUCCAAUGAAGAGAGCCAAAGCCAAGCAUUCAAAGUUCAAGGAUUUCGUGUGCAACGCGUCGGACUGAUUCAGUUGUUUUAGCAGUUUCCGUUAUUUCCAAUUAUUUCCUAGUUUUAUUGCUUCCAAUUGGGUCUUGUAAGCCUACUAAGGCACAUCUAGUAUAUUAGGGUAAUUAGUUAUGUUUUGGUGAAGUCUUUCAAUUCAAUUAGGAAACUUACCUCUUUCGCGUAGGUUUAGGUUCAGUUGUUUUGUAAGCCUAUAAAAGGCUGCUCAAUUCCAUAAAGAAGGGACUUUUUGGAUUCUCUAGCUUCUUGUGAGCACCCUUGAGCACCUUUAGAGGAUCUAAAGUGUUUGUCGACUUUAUCAAUCAGGGAACACGCCUGAUUGUGGUGUCUUCUACCGUUCGAAACUAUCUCG
rnacentral:lncRNA from 1 species